rnacentral:tRNA from 1 species
UUUUUAUUUAAAGUUGAACUAUUCUUAAUAGUGUAACAUUAAAAUAUAGUUAAGUAAAAAU